UACAGAGGUCCCGAGCGUUGUUCGGAUUCACUGGGCGUAAAGGGUGCGUAGGCGGCCUGUGCAAGUCGGUUGUGAAAUCCACGGGCUUAACUCGGAACGGUCAACUGAUACUGCUCGGCUAGAGUGCAGAAGGGGCAACUGGAAUUCUUGGUGUAGCGGUGAAAUGCGUAGAUAUCAAGAGGAACACCUGCGGCGAAGGCGGGUUGCUGGGCUGACACUGACGCUGAAGCGCGAAAGCUAGGGGAGCGAACGGG
rnacentral:rRNA from 1 species